UUUUCAUUAUUACAAGGAGCAGGUACACUGAAUGUUUACCCGAUGGAGCAGGAGCUGAGAAGAACAUGCUUUCAGUCCCAUGAACUAGGGUGCAGGGAAUUAGACCCAAAAGACAGAGAACAGAUUGGAACAAGAGUCUAGGGUUUAUUUUCAACAAUUUAAACUGGCACAAAAAAUAAACAAACCCCAAUUUUUUAACUGUACAAAUGCAAAAAAAUUGUACUUUCUUUUAAUUUAUGUAAUGUAAAUGUGUUCACGUGAAACACUGCAAGAGACAAUAUGUUAACUUAAAUUUACUUGUCUGCAGUAAUUAUAUUAAACACCGGCAGAUGUAUACAUUUUAAGCAACAAUUAAAAACAAGGCACGUUUACAAUCUCCUGGAUAAAGAGCCCAUUGCAUUAAUAUCGCUGAUGUUAAUAGACAACAGUGCCAUUAAAAUACCAUGAAAACUUGGCUGCAUUACAAAGAAUGAUAUAUCAAAAGGCAGAACCCUCAUAUUGGAGGGGAUGUUUGGGAAUGGAGUUUAGGUAUUGGUACCCUUCUACUAUUUGUUUUAGGGGAUAAUGUGGCUCCUCGUGCUAGAUAAAUGAGGUUAGGUCACAUAUCAAGAGACAGGUUUAAGGAUGGAGUUAGGCGAGCACUAUGCUACAUUUUAGGGUAGAAUUAAGGGGACCUAGGUUUGGGGGUAUUAAGAAAUGUGAAGCAUCACUUGAUCUUAACAUAGUUUUACCACUAUUGAGAUAAAUCUUAUGGCUUUUUAACUUUUCAAACUAUUUUAUUACAGAAAUUAAAAGUUCCUGUUCCAAUUAUUACAACCUUUGUUAAAAAGAAAAACAAUUAUCCAUUCUUUCAGUGAACAAACAGAUUUCACUGAAUUAUUACAAAGGAAAACUGAGGACACUGCUCACAAAAUCCAAUAAAGUAUGAUGUGCGACAUUCGACCGAGACGGUAAAGAAACCGAUUGAAACAAGCAUCCUACAUUGUUUGAAGGUAUCAACCUAAAAUUUACCCUAACAGAAUUGUGUUUAACAAUUAACUCCACAUUUUAACUGUAUUGACUGUAAAAAAAUAUGACUUUCCUAUUCAGAACAAAAUAUCUGAUUUCCUCUCCACUAAAGCUCUGUACACGAUAAUUAUAUAGCUGUCUGUGUAAGCGCUGACCUGUGUAGUCUAAUUUCAUAAUUGAAACCUUAAAUGAAUACAUUGUUCUUUUUUCUCACUCUUUG